UACGUAGGGGGCAAGCGUUGUCCGGAUUUAUUGGGCGUAAAGAGCGUGUAGGCGGCCAGAUAGGUCCGUUGUGAAAACUCGAGGCUCAACCUCGAGACGCCGAUGGAAACCAUCUGGCUAGAGUCCGGAAGAGGCGAGUGGAAUUCCUGGUGUAGCGGUGAAAUGCGCAGAUAUCAGGAGGAACACCGAUGGCGAAGGCAGCUCGCUGGGACGGUACUGACGCUGAGGCGCGAAAGCGUGGGGAGCAAACAGG
rnacentral:rRNA from 1 species